UGGACUGAAAAAAGGCCCAGA
rnacentral:piRNA from 1 species